UGAUCUAUAUUAACUCGGUCAAAUAUAAAAGAAACGACAAAACACGUAAUAAUUAACAAUCAUAAUUAAAUAAGCUAGUACACAAGGUAGCUACAAAACCCUAUUUCAAUAACUCCUAAUUCAAGUUCCGACUAAGAUAAACGACCAUGGAAUACAACAUUAAAUAACACUCUACUUGAAAAAGUGCUAAGCCUUGGCUUUUCCAGCUUGAAGAGAUUGAAUCCUCCACUACACCUUCAAUAUCUAAAGGAUGCAAAACCAAAUGAUUAGAUAAACCAACAAACUUGGUAAACAAUAGAGAUGUUAAAAAUAAAAAAUAUAUAUAGCCAUUAAGGCUCAAAAAAAAAACAAACAAUUAUGUGCAGCUUUAGCUGCAGGUUGAACUAUACUAACAAACAAUCUCAAUCAUAGCUCUUCCAUGUGUCACAAAUAGGCAUUCUUUCUAAUGAUUGUCUAAACUAUUUAAUUUUUUAACAAGGAACAUUAACAACUAAUGCUAAGAAAAUACGUAAUUUAUGCAUGGAACGUGUCACAGUCAACAAUUCAAUUGCAUGACUAACCAGGAAAAUAUGAUACACAAACACAAAUUACAGAUAAUAACCGAAAAUGGACUUUAGAAGUUUUAAAAUUGAUAACUAACACAUGGGAACUUCAUAAUGUAAGUAAUAAAUAUAACUCCCAAGCUGUCAUAAGCCACAAUCCAAGAAACAUGUAUCCGCACAAAACUGAGAACAUAUAGAUAAACCAUCUGCAGCACAAUAAAUGGUUACAAGUUACAUCCAGUACGUAACAUCAGUUCUGAUGAAGUAAACAAAUGAGAAAUUUAACAUUGAAAUAGGCACCAUCCAUCUAUGUCCUAACACAAACAAAUAAGAAUAUCCCACCCCAUGCAGGUGACUCUUACCUUCAAAUAAGAAUAUUUCCAUUUGGUAAUUCUUAUAUUAAUUUUCUUUUAUGUCAUUUAAUAUUGUUUUUUUAUAUCUUUACAAGCUGUGCCGUUAUAUUGUUGUUAACAUUUAAAAAUUGCUUCCUGUUUCAUGGUUAAGAAAUGAAAGCAUCUAGAUAUCGAACCACAGAAAAAGAUCGGUGAAGCUAAUAAAUAUAUUAACCAUGUUAGCAGGCAGUAGAAAAGUAUCAAAGAAAACUGCAUUAAACAAAAUACCAGACUCUUUAUCUAAUUAUAAAAUGUCUAGAGCAUAAAUCACUCAAAAUUAGCAACAUUAACCUAUAUUUAUUUGCUGGAAAAGUAGUGUGAAGGAUCUAAAAGCAACUUAUAUUAACUAGGAAGAAACAAGUUGAAACUUCAAGGUUUUAAAGUUCAGAGACAAAAGCAUAACAGACCAUAAACAAAUGAAAGAAAUAUCACUCAUUUGAGUUGUGCCUGUGAAUUUAUGGAAUUCAACAAGGAAGUUUACUAUUAGUUGUUAUAGUAAUUAGGGAUUAGUCAUAAAAUAUAGUUUAAUUUUGGUUCUUGGAAAAACCCCACAUGAAAAAACAAUGUUGUGGAGAGUAAUGAUCUGCGUAAGUGAGAGUUUUUAUGGCAGAAUCAAACAACCCUAAGUAUCAAAAUUGGUGCUGAACAGCAAAUUAAUUGAAAAGUGAGAGGGCUUUAAAGAAAAAUAUUAUUUACCUAGAGCUUGCAAAUUCAAAGAGUUUGCCUCUAGGAGAGAAGAUGAUUAAAGCAACUUCAGCAUCACAAAGAACUGAUAGUUUAAUUUCAGUUUUCCCUCUUUUUAUUUUUGCAUGUUUCCAGUUUUCCCGUUUCCAGUUUUCCCGCACUUAAACACUUCAAUUUACAACAUUUAAACACUUCAAUUUACAGAUCCACCAACAAUAAAGUAGCAUCAGGAUACAGAUCCACCACAUUUUAGCACCAUUUGCAAAACUAUCAUAAGUUUAUAUGCUCAUAGCCGAAAACAUAUAAUAAAACCAAUAAAGCUAAAAUAUUAGAGACUGACCUUCUUUUCCUUUUCCAAAAUUUCUUUUAUGGGACAAGGUAGUGCUUCCUCUUUGCUUGUCGUUGAACAGUUUUACUAGCAGAUUUCUACUCUAU
rnacentral:lncRNA from 1 species